rnacentral:sRNA from 1 species
GCGGCUGCAAAAGGAGUACCCAUAUUAUAUGGAUAACUCCUACAGUUUUCAAGGAAUUUGCAGACCAACUGUACGUAUAUCAGGGGUGUGCAUAUUAUUUGGUUUCUUGUUGUUUUUUUUUUAAUUUAUGAAAGAAAAUACCAGCUGUUGAACUUCGUUAUUUUUUAGUACAAUAUUGCAUAAAGCGUACCCUACUGUAUGGAUAAGUCCUCCUACAAGAUAAAAAGUUGUUGUUUUGCAAAUCAUUUGAUGUUCGUAUAUCGGAGAUGAGAAUAUUACUUGGAUUUUGAUUUUUGUUCAUUUAUGAAAAAAUACCUUAAUUUAUGAAAAAAAUACCAUCUGUUCAACGGAGUUAUUUUUUGGCAAAAUAUUGCAUAAAGAGUACCCCAUUUCUAUGGACCGGUAGUGUUUAUCAAUUCAGGUCUAGGGUUGACAAAUUGAUUAUGGAUACUAUUCACACAAAAGAAAACCCGGUUUGCUGUCACAUUAACAGCUUUUUACUUGUUUUCAAAUAAGAUAAGCUUUGAUUUGGUGUUUUAAAACCAUUCAGAAACUAUGUCAAUAUGUAUUAAUAGCCUCAAAGCUUAGAGAGAAUUCGAUAUGUUUAUGCCACAUAUGUUGUCAUGUAUUUUUUUUAACCUUUUUAUCGGACGCAUAUUCUGUUUAUAUGGUUAUUUUUGAAUGAAGAAUAAUCCUCCAUAUAUAUACUAUGUUCAUUGUUUGUACAUGUAUGUAUACCGUAUACUCUGUACAUAUGGUGUUAAUCCCGUUUAGUCAAUAAAGAGUAUUAUUUUAAACAAAG